UGAGUACGAGAUGCUACGGCAUCGAAGCAGUCUAUGUCAUACUUCCAAGAAAAGCUUGCAAUGUCAUAAACAAAUAAUGCCUGUACCAUAACCGACACAGGUGGGUAGGUAGAGUAUACUAAGGGGCGCGAGAUAACUCUCUCUAAGGAACUCGGCAAAAUGACUCCGUAACUUCGGGAGAAGGAGUGCCUUAUUUUUAUAAGGUUGCAAUAACAAGAUCCAAGCAACUGUUUACCAAAAACACAGGUCUCCGCUAAGUCGUAAGACGAUGUAUGGGGGCUGACUCCUGCCCAGUGCCAGAAGGUUAAAGAAGUUGGUUAGCAUUAGCGAAGCUGAUAACUGAAGCCCUGGUGAACGGCGGCCGUAACGAUAACGGUCCUAAGGUAGCGAAAUUCCUUGUCGGGUAAGUUCCGACCCGCACGAAAGGCGUAAUGAUUUGGAUACUGUCUCGGAGAGGGGCUCGGUGAAAUAGACUUGUCUGUGAAGAUGCGGACUACCUGCACCUGGACAGAAAGACCCUAUGAAGCUUUACUGUAACUUGAGAUUGAAAUUGGACUUUAUCUGCGCAGUAUAGGUGGGAGACGUUGAAAAUAUUCUUGCGGGAAUAUUGGAGUCAUCAGUGAGAUACCACUCUUAUAAUGUUAGAUUUCUAACUUUGUAUCAUUAUCUGGUCAAAGAACAGUUUCAGGCGGGCAGUUUGACUGGGGCGGUCGCCUCCCAAACGGUAACGGAGGCGCACAAAGGUUUCCUCUGAACGUGUAGAAAUCGUAUCUAGAGUGUAAAGGCAUAAGGAAGCUUGACUGUGAGACCUACAAGUCGAGCAGGGACGAAAGUCGGUCUUAGUGAUCUGACGGUGCUGAGUGGAAAGGCCGUCACUCAACGGAUAAAAGUUACUCUAAGGAUAACAGGCUGAUCUCCCCCAAGAGUUCACAUCGACGGGGAGGUUUGGCACCUCGAUGUCGGCUCAUCGCAUCCUGGGGCGGUAGUACGUCCCAAGGGUUGGGCUGUUCGCCCAUGAAAGCGGUACGCGAGCUGGGUUCAGAACGUCGUGAGACAGUUCGGUCCAUAUCCGGUGUAGGCGUUAGAAUAUUGAGAGGAGCCUUCUUUAGUACGAGAGGACCGAGAAGGACAUACCUCUGGUGUACCAGUUAUCGUGCCAACGGUAAACGCUGGGUAGCCAUGUAUGGAGAGGAUAACCGCUGAAAGCAUCUAAGUGGGAAGCCCACCUCAAGAUAAGUAUUC
rnacentral:rRNA from 1 species